rnacentral:rRNA from 1 species
GCAUAACGCGAAGAACCUUACCUGGUCUUGACAUGUCUGGAAUCCCGAAGAGAUUUGGGAGUGCCGCAAGGAACCAGAACACAGGUGCUGCAUGGCUGUCGUCAGCUCGUGUCGUAAGAUGUUGGGUUAAGUCCCGCAACGAGCGCAACCCUUGUCCUUAGUUGCCAUCAUUUAGUUGGGAACUCUAAGGAGACCGCCGGUGACAAACCGGAGGAAGGUGGGGAUGACGUCAAGUCAUCAUGGCCUUUAUGACCAGGGCUACACACGUGCUACAAUGGCAGGUACAGAGGGAAGCCAACCAGCAAUGGGGAGCCAAUCCCAGAAAGCCUGUCUUAGUCCGGAUUGGAGUCUGCAACUCGACUUCAUGAAGCUGGAAUCGCUAGUAAUCGCAGAUCAGCAUUGCUGCGGUGAAUACGUU